GUCAGGAGCAAGCGAGGUGAGGCGGCGGCCUUGGCAUUUCCGUCCGGGCCUGUUGCUGGUCUCAGAGCCCACGAGCCCGUGGACGCCACAGGGUCGGCAAAGGGGAGACCCUCGGCUCCCGUGGCAGGUUAUGGGUGUGACACGAAGAUCUAAAAACCCAGAUGAAACAAAUCCUCCUCAACGGGGAGAUUUGCAAAUAGGGAUGGAGCCGUGAGACGCCUUUGACGGCAAAUAGGAAAGGUGCACAACAAGCCCUACCCACGGGAGUCGAGAGUCGGAUCACCCUCCUCCUGCCCCGCACAGCCAGUCUCAACUUGCCCUACCUGAAACCAUCCCAUCGCUCCUGCCCAGUCUCACUCACUGCUUCCUGUCUGUGAACACCUCCCAGCCAGUGCGGAAAAAUAAUUUUGGCAAGCCAAGAAAAAUGCAGCUUCCAAUCCAUAGCCAACCCGUGAUAGAUGGAAAAGAAUCUAUUACGCUGCUUUUCUUAGUUACACAAAUUGACCUUAUGUGGGACAUAAGUCCUCUUUAAGUUAGUUCCUGAGGGUGCCAUUCAUUAGUCAGACAUGCUUGUUUUAGCAGCACUAAAACGGGAUCAUAAACUUCUUAAAGUCAUACAAGGACAGAUAAAAUUUCUGAAAUGAGAACUUCAAUUCAGCUCAUCAGAAAUUGGAUUAAUGCAGACAGUGAACAGAAUAAAAGAGCCACUGUC